AAGAAACAGGACAGGAUAGAAUGGAAGCAUGGGACCAUGCUCAAUAAGAGCUCACUGAGCAAGGGCUAAUAGGAAACGUACUAAUGGACCAGGUAUCAGGAAAAUAUGGCCCCCACAAGCCAAAGCACAGCCCAGGUUCAUUUUCUGUUGUUUCCUGGAAUAAAGCUAUGCCCAAACACCCCAGUGGUCCUCAGCUGUACCUACCCUAUUACAACAGAGCUGUGUCUCUGCAACAAAGAGGUCUGGACUACCAGACUACCAAGCCUAAAUCAUUCAUUGUCUAGCCCUUUACAGAGCACAGCUGGUACCUGCACCCGACCUCAAGCUCCCAGAGGCAUGGAGCUGUCUCACUGAUACACAGGUGUCGCUCCAGAGUUCCUACUCUGUAGUGUGCUUAAGAGAUCAAGACCUAGCUGGGCAGUGGUGACGCACGCCUUCAAUCCCAGCACUCAGAGUUCCUACUCUAUAGUGUGCUUAAGAGAUCAAGACCUAGCUGGGCAGUGGUGACGCACGCCUUCAAUCCCAGCACUCAGAGUUCCUACUCUGUAGUGUGCUUAAGAGAUCAAGACCUAGCUGGGCAGUGGUGACGCACGCCUUCAAUCCCAGCACUCAGGAGGCAGAGGCAGGCGAGUUUCUGUGAGCUUGAGGUCAGCCUAGUCUACAGAGUGAGUUCCAGGACAGCCAGGCUACACAGUGAAACCUUGUCUUGAAAAACAAAACAAACAGAUCAAGACCAAGUUUUUAGCUGGAUAUGGUGAUGCCUGAUAAAAAAUCUAACAUUGAGAGGCAGAGACAGGAGGACUGUCCCAGGUUUGAGGAUCAGCCUGGUUUACAUAACAAGUUCCUUGCCACCCAGACUACCUAACAACAAACUGUCUCAAAAGCAGCAAACAAAUACAAGUUUUCAAUCCCAGCUCUCCAACUCUAUGGUGUUAGAAGCACAUCUGACCUCCCUGAGUUAGAGGUUCCUCACUGUGAAAGAAAAUAGCACCACCUACCCUGCAGCACCCAGAUGUGUGCCUACCUCACUCACACAAGAAUGUGUGUAAGCACGCACACAUCUGUCCUGCUGCAGAGAUGGGGUUUUAACAGAGAUACUAGCACUAAACGGCAAGGAACACUGUUCUGACCCGACAGUACUGGAGGAAGCAAGGAUUGCUCAGGGGUUUUUGAACCAAACAGGGUACCACAGUGUUGCAGUGGAUACCAUUCUACCUAUGACCUUAAAGUGCCAGCCGCUGGGGUAUGGCCUUGGAGCGACCCUUCAGACCUGAGAGGCACAUAAGCUGCUCUCUUCUCUCCCUCAUGGGCUUGGAGGUGGGACUGGCUCAGGCGGCAGGAGCAGUGUGGGGCGGGACCUCAGCCUUCCAGAACCCUGCGACGUUUCUGUUUAAUGAGUUGUCUUUUCUGAUUUAUCUCCUAAUAAAUUCCUUAUAACUCUUAAGCAGACUCCCUUGGAUUUCUUGCUAUACAGUGUCUCAGACUCAACUCUUUCACUAAAUGUUGCACGUUUUUCUCACUAGAACCUGGUGGAUGCCUGUCUAACUCCCAGAGCAAACUGGAUAGUGGUUCCAUAAACUCCUGGCAGAAUGACAAUGAAUGCUUCCAUCCUGAUGCUGGCGUCACUGGGACCAAGCCCCAAUCUGCAGAUGAGAGCACUCACACAUGCAAUUCCCGGGACAGAAGUGCCAUGGACCACUCCUAAAGUAUCACUGUGUCAGCCCUAACUGAACAGCGGUGUGAAUGGGACGGGGCAGAAGGGCAGGGAGCACAUCUGAGGACUAAGGGACAUGAGAGAAAGAAAGCCUGGACAGACAAAGGAACCCUGGAAGGGCGUAAGGGCAAGUGAAAGGCCAAGCUGGAAACCUGGUUGAACCUUCUGGACUUUAAACUGAUGACAGAGAAAAGCUCAAAUGUCCCUGAGGUGGAGGGGAUGCCUAAUGAGAGCAAGGUUUUGGAGAGACUACCCUGGAGGUUGAAUGGCAUCUAGAGGCAGAAAGACAGGCAGGUUAGAGGGGGCGAGGCAGGCCUGAGUGGCUGUGGGAGCCGUCUGAAGCCAAAGCUUGCCUUAUUCAGGGACUCCAAAGGCAGUGGACAGAGAGAAGGCCACCGAGCCACCUCCUGGGCUCCAAGGAACAACUAAGAAGCAAAGUUCAUGAAGCUCAGUUUACUUAUUUUUGGUUGAGAUGGGGUCUUAGGCUUAGUCCUAGCUGGACUGGAACUUGUAGCAAUCCUCCUGCCUGUUUCCAAGCGUUGGGAUUAUAGGUAUGUGCUCCUGAGCUGGCUGUGAAGUCAUUUAUGAUGCAGUUUGCUGUGGACUCUGACCCACAGAGCUCACUUGAAGCGGCCACCAAGCGCUACUUCUGCGCCUGGCUGGAACUGGCUACCACAGGCUCUGCUCUGAAAGCAUUUCACUGACUCAACACACAUCUGUCCGAGUGAAGGAAAUUUCCUCCCAGAGACCAAGAGCUCUAGAAGGAGGCUCAUUUUGAAGAUCAUCUCCACACUGUGAAGGACAGCACCCUCAUGGCACCAUGGAGCUUCUAGCACCAGGCUUAAUCCUCCUGGUGUCAGAGAGCUGUGACUCUGAACACACCACUCUGCCCUCUGCCCUCUGCCCUCACUCCAAAGGAUCUGAACUACUGACCCUUCAGUCCAUUUCCAGGCUAGGAACUCACACCCUUCUAGUACUCUUCCAGCUUCUUCCUACCCUGAAUCAUGUGGGGCUGUUCUCCUUCUUCUUCAUUUCUUUCUUUUUUUUUUUUCUUCUUUUUUUUCAGUUUUUCGAGACAAGGUUUCUCUGUAUAGCCCUGGCUGUCCUGGAACUCACUGUGUAAACCAGGCUGUCCUCAAAUUCAGAGAUCCGCCUGCCUCUGCCUCCUGAAUGCUGGGAUGUUGGCAUGCGCCGCUCUCACCCCCCACCCCCACCCUCACCCCCUGGCCUUGGGCCAGUAUUUCAGCAAAAGACUAGUAACUACAGUUUACAAUCUGGGAUGGAGGGUCAGGUUCCAUCAGCAGUUUUAGUAGUGCCCCAUUCCCGAGCUUCUCCACUUUCCUUCCUGCAAGUCUAUUGCUAUGGCACCAUCAUUCUUUCACGGGAAGGGAGUAGCAUGGUUUUCUAUGUGGGUGAUGUGUAUCUGUUUUGGAGGAGAGGUUCUUACUACGUAGCUUUGGCUGGCCUCAGAUCUGUAAUUCUCCUGCCUUAGCCUCCUGAGUGCUGGUGUUACAUGGGUGUGGCACCAUGCCCAGCCUUCCACCACAUUUCUUUAGGAAUUUGUUGUUAUCCCAUUUGCCCUAGACAACUUUCUCCUUUGACGCUCCACCAAUUCUGGGUAACCCACAGCUCCUGUACUUUCCUUCAUUGGCUGGCGGCCUUUGCAAGCAAACCAAGUUGAUGGGGCCCCUGUACAGACUCAUUCUUCAGUUUACCUGGGUCCCCUCAGCUGGAUGGCUCUUGACUCAUGUCUACCAACUUCUAUCUGAACCUUCCAAGAAGGUGCUCCACAUUCUUCUAGUUUUUUCAAGAUUUUGGUCCAGUCAUUAAAUAUAUCAAGUUAUCAUCUAAUGUGACCUUAAGUUCCCUCUCUGGACAUCAAUAUUCUCUCAUAGUGGCAGCUGUCCACAAUCCCUAGACUGACUUGGAAACUUCCAGAAGCAGACCUGGAAACCAUUAGUUCAUCUGGAUGGUACAAGAAACAGGGAGGGAGGCAGCCAGCCAACGGUGUAUUGAGCAAGUGACCUCACAGAGCCUGAGCAGGUAGAGCUGAGACUCCAUUCUGCUCCUACAGACACUGAGGGCUGUUCUGAGGUCAGGGAUUCUCCAGCACCACAGGCCUCUGUAGAGCAGGGAGAUGCAAUGCUGGUGAGAAGGCAGGCAGAAAAAUAUUAGUGAAGAUGAGGUGUGGCCCAUCCAUUGUAGAGUGCACGCAUUCAGUGAAGAUGAGUUCUCUUAAUAACCCCACCUGACGUCCAAGUGAGAAACAGGUAUGGAAGCAGAUAAAGAAUAGUACCCUACAUGUGUGAGAGCAGAUGCAAAAGUAUUUAAGGGACCCAGAUCUCCCUGAACAAAUAAAGACUCUUGACUAGAUGGAGACAGUGGCAGGUAGCCUUCUAACAUGACCCCCAAUAAGCCACGUCUUCUGGGGCUCAUGACCUUGUGCAAUCUUGCCCCCUUAAGAGAAUGCUAGAUCUACUGAUUUAUUUCUGUUGAAACAAGACAUCAUCUUAGCCAUUCUGGAAAGGGCAUUUAGGCAACACUCAGAAAGCAACUAAGAGGCCUGCAAGAAAUUUGCAGCCAGUCAGCCAUGUGAGCGAGUGUGGAAACAGAUUCCUCUGAGUUGAAUUCUGAGGUCUGGAAGCCUGGGCUGACAGCUGGACUGCAGUGUUGUGAAAGACCCUAAGCUAAAUACCUAGAUAAGAGAACCAAGGUCAGGCUAGCUAAUGGACAAGUCUAAGGUCACACAGCUGAUAGGGAGUAGAUCCAGAUUAAACUCCCAGCUGCCUGACCCCAAGUUUAUUUCCUCCUCUACAGCCAACCUGCUCAGAUAAUGCCAUACAAUCUUGACGUGGGAGAAAAAGCCAUAAGCAGUAUGGGAGAAGAGCUGGGGUCCUGGGGACCAAUGGCAUCUCUGGCCACCACUGUUCAGAGCAUGAGGUCUCUGCCUAGAUCUUCUCUGUGUCCAGGCUUAGGCAGCCACCACAAACUCUACAAUAUUAGCCUUGGGAGCCCAGCGUGGAAGAAGACUAUAUGCCUCUGGGAACCUGCUAGAUUGGUCUGUAUAAGGGCCUGGUGAGGACUGUGGUGAAGGCAAUCCCAUUGCUCUAAGCAAUAAGUUCAGAUUACCAAGGAAGCUGCUCUAUGGUAGGCAUUCAAGUCCUGGAAUCCUCAGGUUUCUUCUUCUUUAAAACUCAUUUUCUACUUUAAAUUUAGUUCUUCCUUCAUAAGUAAAUAGAGCUACCUAGACUCAAAUUUCAGUGCCACCACCCCUGGCUGUGUGCUACCAAUGAGGGCCUAUAGGCUCUCCAAGACUCCAGGUCUUCCUUACUGCUUAGGGAAAUGGGAAUAAACCACCCAGCCCAAAUCAGGUCCCUGAGAAGGCCAAUCAAAAUAACAGAUGUGAAUCAAAUCUAGCAAAGCAUCAGAAUUAUGAAAAAUGGACUUGGCAUCCCAGGCAAUUUCAACUCGCCUACUGGCCCCGACAGGUUCAUUAGGAUUGAUUUUGUUCCCACCAUUGUUACUGUCGUUCUUUUAAAAAGCAAACAGUGUCUAAGUGUAUGAACGUUUUGUCUGCAUGUAGGUGUGUGUACACAUACAAGCCUCAUGCCUUGGAGGUCAAAAGAGGGCAUCCCCUGGAACUGAAGUUCUGGAAUCCAAACCUGAGCCUUCCCUAACAGUGGUAAGUGCUCUUAAUUGCUGAGCUAUCUCUCUAGCCCAUGCCAUUCCUCUCAAGGGAAUGGCUUCCACUAGCUGGUCCACGUUAUUCUCUAAGGGCAUUAACGGCUCCUACGAUCUAGUCCCUGUUAGUCCCUCUAAGAGCAUUAAUGGCUUCCACUAUCCACUCUUGAACUCAAGGGCCCAGAAACAACUUGGGCCCACCAACCUUCUCACUUACAAUGCUCAAAAUAAAGUAACAGGCACAUUCAUUGUCUCUAAAUAAUCCUGCUCUUUACUUACUCAACAAGAGCUCUUUCUUGAGCGCUCGUCUGUGGUGUGUAAAACACUGGUAUUUAUGUGAAUCGGAGUGAACGUAACUUCAAGAGUAUGGCAGCAAGCACAGAGGAGCAGCAGGAUCCACAUGUGCAAACAACAGGCUUCCCAGAGAAAGAGCCACUGAGCUGAGGGCGAGUCUUACAAGCAGUCCAAGCAUACAAGCCUUCCUUUCCUCCUCUCCGCUCAGGCUAGCCAGACCUGAUCCAGUCUGACAGCCACAGACAUCUGCUGAAUGUUAACAGUGGCCAGACGCUGCACCAAGUCUGCACCCUCUCAUUUCAUCCCUGACAAAGUGUAACACGGGGAAAUUAUCACCCUUGGUUCAUGAACAUGGGAACGACGGCCCAAAAGUCAUCUGGCCAAGGCCACGCACUGGGAAAUACAAGUCUCUACUGUUUCUGCUUUGUUUUUCUCUCUCUGUAACCACAGCCCUCUGCCCAGAAGGAAUUGGCCCUUGCCAAUCCUACAAAGCCAGAGGUCACACUAAUAUAGAGUGGACUGAACUCAGAGCAAGGACCUGGCAAGGACGAUUGAUUCUGUGUGGGGGCUGGAGAGAUGGCUUAGUGGUUACGGGCACUUGCUGCUCUUUCAGCUCACAAACUCCUAUAACUCUAGCUCUGGGAGAUCUGACACCUUCUUCUGGGGCAGGCACACACAAACGCUCCUGCCUCUCUGCCUCUUCCUCUGCUUCCUGUCCCAUGAGAAGAAUACCUCUACCACUCUGCUUCUACCAUGAUGUUCUGCCUCAUCUCAGACCCAAAGCAAUAGAGCCAUCGAAACUUGGACUGAAACUUCUGAAAACACAGACCAUGCCAUGCCACCAAGUGCUUCUCUUAGUUUGUGACAGUUUUCAGACUUGUCUUGUUUUGGGUGGCCUUGAAAGUUUUGUGGAGUGCUGGUCAGGUAUCUCGGAGGGUGUCCCUCAACUGGAAUUGAUUGAUGUUUUACUGAAGUAGACUAGAGCUGUAUACAUCCAGGAAGAAGAAUCCCGAGGUCCCUGCAGCUCUCUUCCACCCCCGUCACUUGCUUGAUGACUCGCCUGUCAAGGUCUCUACCGCACAUACUCCUCUCUGCCUGUGCUCUGUAGAGGGAAGUCUCUAGACACUUAAGAAGCAGAAAAGUUGAGUAUUGUGGACCAUGCCUGUAUUCCAGAACUUGAGAGGCAGAAGAAUCAGGAGUUCAAGACCAGACCAGCCUCAGCUACACAGCCUAGACAACAUUAAACCUUGUUUCAAAAAACAAAACAAACAAAAAGAGAAAGGAAUUAUAUGCUAAUUUCUUGAGAGGACUGACUAUCUGCACAAAUUAUUCAGAAUUUUUCUGCCCAGAAAUUUGCCUAUUGUCCCUAUGUAUUUAUUUAGUCAGUUAAUCAAAUAGAUUCAGGACAGACUUACAGGUAUUUAGCAUUUACUUGGAGUGUACUAACAUGAGUAUAUAAUUCAAUACUCUUUCACUGUAUUGCAACAACUGCUCCACACUGACAACUGAAAGCUCUUGGCCUCUGUCUCUGUGUGUGCGCGUGCACGUGACUGUGUGAGUUUAUGUGCUCUAGGUGUGUGAAGGUGCCUGCAGAGGCCAGAGGGUGUUGAUCCUGGGACUGGAGCUAGAUAUGGCUGUGCACUGCCUGGUGUGGGUGUUGGAACAGACCUCAGGUCCUCUUUAAGAACAAUAAACACCUUUAACCACUGAGCUAUCCCCCAGAGUCCCACCUCCACUAUAUCAUUUAAAUAUAUACUUCAAACCUUAAAAAUCUUUGUCUUGCUGGGUGGUGGUGGCACACACCUUUAAUCCCAGCAAUUGGGAGGCAGAGGCAGGCAGAUCUCUGUGAGUUCGAGGCCAACCUGGUCUACAGAGUGAGUUCCAGGACAGCUAAAGCUGUUACACGGAGAAACCCUGUCUCGAAAAUAAAAAAAACAACUUUGUCUUAUCUCUACACCCAGGGUGCGAUCUCUUCAAGGACUAGCACCUUGAGCUGUCCCCAUAGCAUCCUGGUUUACACCAUGUGGUGGUUUAAAAGAAAAUGGCCCCCAAAGGGAGGGGCACUAUUAGGAGGCCUUGAAGAAAGUGUAUCACUGUGGGGGUGGGCUUUGAGGUCUCUUUAUCUCAAGCUUCCCUCAGUGUGACAGUCAGUUGACUUCCUGUUGCCUGCAAGAUAUAGCAUUCUUAGCUCCAGCACAUCUGCCUGCAUGCCACCAAGCUCCCCACCAUGAUGACAAUGGACUGAACCUCUGAAACUGUAACUGAAUCAUCCCAAUUAAAUGUUCUACUUUGUAAGA